rnacentral:rRNA from 1 species
GGGGAAUUUUCCGCAAUGGGCGCAAGCCUGACGGAGCAACGCCGCGUGGGGGAGGAAUGUCUGUGGAUUGUAAACCCCUUUUCUCAGGGAAGAAGUUCUGACGGUACCUGAGGAAUCAGCAUCGGCUAACUCCGUGCCAGCAGCCGCGGUAAGACGGAGGAUGCAAGCGUUAUCCGGAAUUAUUGGGCGUAAAGCGUCCGUAGGCGGUUUAUCAAGUCUGCUGUCAAAGACUACAGCUUAACUGUGGGCAGGCGGUGGAAACUGAGGAACUGGAGUGCGGUAGGGGUAGAGGGAAUUCCCAGUGUAGCGGUGAAAUGCGUAGAUAUUGGGAAGAACACCAGUGGCGAAGGCGCUCUACUGGGCCGUAACUGACGCUGAGGGACGAAAGCUAGGGGAGCGAAAAGGAUUAGAUACCCC